AAUAAAUGAUUUACUAGUCUACUGGUUAAGUGUUAGUGAAAUUGCCAUUGAAACCCAAGUUUAAGUCCUCUUCCUUUCAUUUUUUUAAUUUUCAGAACUCCCUUGUUUUUAACCCUAUUAUCGCCCUUAGGGUUUAAAAAACCUAGUAUUUAGACAUCUUUUUCCCAUUUGUGUGUUCACAUUGCCUCCUUUCAAAACCUAGCCUAUUUUUCUUUCUUGUAGUUUUCUGUCAACUAUUUCUUUUUCUCCUCCCUUUGUGCUACCCCAUACCUUACCUCCUCCUAUCUUUUUCUUUCUUUCUUUUGGUUGUGCACCACCCUCCAUCUCCUUGCACCACCGUCGCCGCCAUCGCAACAUUUGCACAUUGUCGCCCUCCUUUCGCCACCUGCUUUAUCAUAGCUCUCUCUCCCUUAUUCUUUCUCCUCUCAUCCUUUUAUUUUAUUCUAUUCAAUCAUCAUAUUCUCUACUUGGUUAUUGUCGAAUCAUCUCUGUGCUCAAAUCUCUACUAACUUUUUUGUUUCCGACCUAUAAGUAAUAAGUGUAAGUGUUUUUCAUGAGCAGAUCUCGUGUUCGAAUGUGUGAUCAUCUCUUUUUUCUUUAUUUUCAAAUAUGUUAAUCAGUUAUAUAGGUUCCUUCUCAAAUCUGUUAAUGGUCGAAUCUAAUUGUGUGCUUUUGUGUGUGUUUAACGUUCGAGGUGCAAUUCUAGAUGCGUCAGACCAGAUAUGAUUUAUAAGAGUGUUUUUGUUUCAGAAAUAUACAUCAAACAAAAGAGUAAGUGUUCUUUUAUUUAGUAAUCAGAUCUAUAUAUCUUUUCCAAAUCUAGCAUAAUUGAAUCUAUUAUGGUGUGUUUUGUGUGCUUUGUUCAUUCAAAUUUCAGAUCUGGACGAAAUCUGAUCAAAUCUGUAGCAAAGGAAUAUAAAUGAUUAGAUCUAGUGUUGUUUGGGCGUACGGAUUAAGGUGUGGGUUCUAACAAAAUGUAGUCUGCAUAAGUAUUGUCCAUAAGUAUUUUAUGUGUGUUUGGUAGUAUCCGAAUGAUCUAUGCCUUAAUUGUGACUAACUGAAUGCAUUCGUGCUUUUGGUGAUAGCUGAAUGAGAUUUGAUCCCUCUACUAGGGUUGGCCAAAUGUUAGUGCCUCUUUUGACCUAAAUUAUGUAUACUGUUAUUCUAUGUUUUGUUCCGAUUCGUAUGUUUUGUGAUAUUAUGGCAUAAUAUUGUUAUCAUUAUUUUGAGCACAUGUUAAAACAUAUUUACUAUCACCAUUUUACUGAACGCAUGAUGAAAAGCAUGCCCACUAUUUCUGCUAAAAUUGAUUCCAUUUUGAAGCAUGCCUACUGUAUUGAUUCUGACUUUGUUAUGCCAUAGUGCAUUACAUGGGGAUCGGGAUGAUAUGUAAGGAGGAAGUUCUGACAGCUUAUCUUCAAUUCUAGUGGUUUAUCCACAUAUUUCUAGCAGUUUAUCUGCAAAUAUGAGUGGCUUUUCCAUAAUACGGUGUCUAGGGAUGGAUGAGUUAUGGGGCACUCUUACUGUGGUGUGUAGCAGUUGAUGGGUAAGAAUUUUCUUUGAAAUUGAAAAAUAAACUGCACUGUUAAAUAUGACCAUGUACAUACAUGAUAUAAUUUAUUUUAUUUGUUAUACUAUGUUACUGUUAGCUUGUUAUACUAUAUUACUGUUAGCUUGCUUGCUAAGACUCACACUGAGCUCUAUAGAUCACUCUUUAGUUUACUGUCUUUACAAAGAAUCCACGAGGUUAGGAUUUGGACUCGGCACAUGGAGGAUCGUCUCGAACUUUUAUUUUAUUUUAAAAAUUACUUUUACUUUAAUUUAUUAAUUUUGAUUUGGGGACUGUAAUAAUUUAUUUGGACUGUGGCAUGAGUUAUUUUUUGGUUGGUUUUAAAUUACAUUACAAGCAAAAAUAUUUGAAAUAGAACAAACUUAGGAUUAUGCUUAAAAAAGCAUGAAACCUGGUUUGAAAUAUAAAAUUGGUUAAAAACACUUUUUUCGUUAUAUAAUUGACAAUUGAUUUCUGA
rnacentral:lncRNA from 1 species